CACCAGACUCCUACGGGAGGCAGCAGUCGGGAAUAUUGCGCAAUGGAGGAAACUCUGACGCAGUGACGCCGCGUAUAGGAAGAAGGUUUUCGGAUUGUAAACUAUUGUCGUUAGGGAAGAGAAAGGACAGUACCUAAGGAGGAAGCUCCGGCUAACUACGUGCCAGCAGCCGCGGUAAUACGUAGGGGGCAAGCGUUAUCCGGAUUUACUGGGUGUAAAGGGGGCGCAGACGGCCAUGGCAAGCCCGGUGUGAAAGGCAGGGGCAUAACCCCUGGACUGCACUGGGAACUGUCAGGCUGGAGUGCCGGAGGGGUAAGCGGAAUUCCUGGUGUAGCGGUGAAAUGCGUAGAUAUCAGGAGGAACACCGGCGGCGAAGGCGGCUUACUGGACGGAAACUGACGUUGAGGCCCGAAAGCGUGGGGAGCGAACAGGAUUAGAUACCCCGGUAC
rnacentral:rRNA from 1 species